rnacentral:rRNA from 1 species
AUUGAACGCUGGCGGCAUGCUUUACACAUGCAAGUCGAACGGUAACAGGCCUUCGGGUGCUGACGAGUGGCGAACGGGUGAGUAAUGCAUCGGAACGUGCCCAGAGGUGGGGGAUAACGCAGCGAAAGCUGGGCUAAUACCGCAUGUGAUCUGAGGAUGAAAGCGGGGGACCAAGCAGCAAUGUUUGGCCUCGCGCCUCUGGAGCGGCCGAUGUCAGAUUAGGUAGUUGGUGGGGUAAAGGCCUACCAAGCCGACGAUCUGUAGCUGGUCUGAGAGGACGAGCAGCCACACUGGGACUGAGACACGGCCCAGACUCCUACGGGAGGCAGCAGUGGGGAAUGUUGGACAAUGGGCGCAAGCCUGAUCCAGCAAUGCCGCGUGCGGGAAGAAGGCCUUCGGGUUGUAAACCGCUUUUGUACGGAACGAAAAGGCUCUGGCUAAUACCUGGGGCUGAUGACGGUACCGUAAGAAUAAGCACCGGCUAACUACGUG